GUUUAUACAGGGUAAUAUUUAUUUGUCAAUAGACAGGAGGAAUCCAAGUAUUUAACUAACAGCAACGGCACUGCUUUUGUCCACGUACAUGAUUACAGUCAAUAAUCAAUUAGGCUCUCUGUUCAACGGAAUCAUUUUCACAAAGAAUGCCACUUUCCAAGUAGCUGACUCUAGUUAUAUGUGCUUACAGUUAACCCAAUCAACCAUAAAAUACAAAUACAUGUAAGGAUGUAUCCAUUUACAGGUUGUUUAUAAGUACAUUGGUCUGGUCCAUGCGGCCAAAUCCCUUGAACAAAGCUCGGAUGCAGUGUUUUUAAAACCCCAUCACUGCUAAGACUUGGUUGGUACAUUUGGAUGGGAUUCUGGAGCUCAGGUUCCCCCUUCAGCUUUCCAUAGUUAAUUCCAUGUUUCUGCUCCCCCAAGGAAGCUCACAGUCCUCCACCUGGUCGCAUCAAGUAACAACAGUGUGGUGAGCAAGGCUGUUAUAAUUUUGUCUAGUUGCUAUACCAAUAAAAUAGGGAAAAGAAAGUUAUUGGUAUAACCUAACAGAGGGUAACAGUUGUCAAUUUAAUAUAAGACUUGAGCAAUCUUGAGUAUGGGAUAUUGCGGUUUCAUACAUCACCAUCACACCAUCUUGGAGUCCCUAAUACUUAUGUAUUAAAAUAAGUAACUUCUCUUCGGCUGUUCCUAUUCCUAUCAAAGUCAAUUCACUCCUAUGGACUUGUCUGGAAAUUAGAGAUCAGUCUGAAUGCAAAGCCAGUGUGUGUAAUGAGAGAACGGGCAGUGUGAAGGUGACAUCCUCAAGACAGUGACAAUAUUCCCUUUGGUUAGGAAUGAUUUUUUAAAGUGCAGCAUUAAGGAAAGAGAUACUUGAUAACUGAAUGCUCAGAGCAGAAAUGGAGCAUCAGCGCUUGAGUCAAAUGAAAGCGUAAGGAAGAAAUUACAAGAACUCAAGGCACAAGUAUGAUGAUUCACUUUGGAUUCUGAAGCAGUCUCACUGCUCAGAGAGCUUCCACCUGCUAAUGAAGAACCCUCUUAUGCCAAGAUUCAGUCUGGAAAGAUUGAUUGCUUCACUCUGAUCAGGGUGUCAGGGGUUAGACAACUGGUGCUACAAAAAGCAAUGGCAGCCUUUUUUCCUUUGCUGUUUAAUGCCACAGAAAUGCACUGCCCAAGCACUUGUAGGGAGAGACAGUAAAGGGAGAUCAUCCAUCAGCAGCCCUGUCCUUCCCAUAAGGUCACAAGAGCUUCUGCUGACCCACUGACCGUAUAAUUUAGCCUAGUGCUCAUUUUGUGGCUGUAUUUAAACCACUUGAGGCCGGAUACUAAAACCACCUCUGCUGUAAAGCUAAGCAAGAUGGUGGAGGCUUAGGAUAACUCAAAGGGCCUUCCUUACUCUGUGAACUGCUACAAACUGUUGUGCAGAUUAACCAGAGGUGGGAACAACGGAGGGUUGGAAAAUUAAAAGGCCAGAAAGCAGUGAAAAGGCUGAUGCAGUUAGGAAUGCCACAGUAUUCCUGGUUUACUGGGGUGAAGCCAGGUGUUUAGGAAGGACGACUGCAUCAGUGAAAUAGAAAUAUUUCUAGUGUUGCUAAGGUAGCAUGCCAAUGACAUGGAAAUUGUGGAUUAAAAAAGGUGUGAAUACUGUUUAUAAUUCAUUAUUAUUGACCUUUAGCACUCUUGGAAGUGGUUUAUUAGCAUUAAUACCAUCAUAAGAGUGUGCUUAUGGGAGCAUAAUCCUCUUUUUGCUGAACUAAAUGGCAACAACAUCCUCUAAACUCAGUGGUAACAUGAUCUAGACCUACAGAAAGAGGUCAUCUGCACCAAAGUGCAAGACUUUGGAAACUCUGUUGGGUUAUUUUAGAUCUCCACAGGGGGAUUAUUUAAUUUUAGAGAUCCCUUUGAUGCAUCAGUCUGGAGAUUUGAAAGGGCAAUAUUUUCAUAUUCCUCCUGUGACGCUGUGCAUCUGCAGUGGUGAACUAACACUACCAAAUCCUUCUGAAAAUUCUUGUUGAGGAAUCCAUAGAAGAUGGGAUUGACACAUGUUGAGAUCAUGGCCACAAGGUGGCAUAUUGUAAAUGCUAGAUUGUGAUUACAGCUCAUUAGUGCCUCGUAGUUCCAGUCAAAAACAACAUUGAAUACAUUGAGAGGCAACCAGCAAGCUGCAAAAGUCACAACAAUUGAUAUCAACAUCACGUUAAUCCUUUUGUUU
ensembl:lncRNA